GCCUUCGUGGUGUAGCAUUCAGCACACUCUGCUCGUAUUUGAGAGGCCCGUGGUUCGAGUCCCGGCGAGGGCG
rnacentral:tRNA from 1 species